rnacentral:rRNA from 1 species
UACAGAGGUCCCAAGCGUUGUUCGGAUUCACUGGGCGUAAAGGGUGCGUAGGUGGCUAGGUAAGUCCGAUGUGAAAUCUCCAGGCUCAACCUGGAAAUGGCAUUGGAUACUAUCUAGCUUGAGGAGUGGAGGGGGGACUGGAAUUCUCGGUGUAGCAGUGAAAUGCGUAGAUAUCGAGAGGAACACCAGUGGCGAAGGCGAGUCCCUAGACACUUCCUGACACUGAGGCACGAAAGCUAGGGGAGCAAACAGG